rnacentral:rRNA from 1 species
GAUGAACGCUGGCGGCGUGCCUAAUACAUGCAAGUCGAGCGAACGGACGAGAAGCUUGCUUCUCUGAUGUUAGCGGCGGACGGGUGAGUAACACGUGGAUAACCUACCUAUAAGACUGGGAUAACUUCGGGAAACCGGAGCUAAUACCGGAUAAUAUUUUGAACCGCAUGGUUCAAAAGUGAAAGACGGUCUUGCUGUCACUUAUAGAUGGAUCCGCGCUGCAUUAGCUAGUUGGUAAGGUAACGGCUUACCAAGGCAACGAUGCAUAGCCGACCCGAGAGGGUGAUCGGCCACACUGGAACUGAGACACGGUCCAGACUCCUACGGGAGGCAGCAGUAGGGAAUCUUCCGCAAUGGGCGAAAGCCUGACGGAGCAACGCCGCGUGAGUGAUGAAGGUCUUCGGAUCGUAAAACUCUGUUAUUAGGGAAGAACAUAUGUGUAAGUAACUGUGCACAUCUUGACGGUACCUAAUCAGAAAGCCACGGCUAACUACGU